rnacentral:rRNA from 1 species
AGAGUUUGAUCCUGGCUCAGGAUGAACGCUGGCGGCGUGCCUAAUACAUGCAAGUCGAACGCUUCACUUCGGUGAAGAGUGGCGAACGGGUGAGUAAUACAUAAGUAACCUGGCAUCUACAGGGGGAUAACUGAUGGAAACGUCAGCUAAGACCGCAUAGGUGUAGAGAUCGCAUGAACUCUAUAUGAAAAGUGCUACGGGACUGGUAGAUGAUGGACUUAUGGCGCAUUAGCUGGUUGGUAGGGUAACGGCCUACCAAGGCGACGAUGCGUAGCCGACCUGAGAGGGUGACCGGCCACACUGGGACUGAGACACGGCCCAGACUCCUACGGGAGGCAGCAGUAGGGAAUUUUCGGCAAUGGGGGAAACCCUGACCGAGCAACGCCGCGUGAAGGAAGAAGUAAUUCGUUAUGUAAACUUCUGUCAUAGAGGAAGAACGGUGGAUAUAGGGAAUGAUAUCCAAGUGACGGUACUCUAUAAGAAAGCCACGGCUAACUACGUGCCAGCAGCCGCGGUAAUACGUAGGUGGCGAGCGUUAUCCGGAAUUAUUGGGCGUAAAGAGGGAGCAGGCGGCACUAAGGGUCUGUGGUGAAAGAUCGAAGCUUAACUUCGGUAAGCCAUGGAAACCGUAGAGCUAGAGUGUGUGAGAGGAUCGUGGAAUUCCAUGUGUAGCGGUGAAAUGCGUAGAUAUAUGGAGGAACACCAGUGGCGAAGGCGACGAUCUGGCGCAUAACUGACGCUCAGUCCCGAAAGCGUGGGGAGCAAAUAGGAUUAGAUACCCUAGUAGUCCACGCCGUAAACGAUGAGAACUAAGUGUUGGAGGAAUUCAGUGCUGCAGUUAACGCAAUAAGUUCUCCGCCUGGGGAGUAUGCACGCAAGUGUGAAACUCAAAGGAAUUGACGGGGGCCCGCACAAGCGGUGGAGUAUGUGGUUUAA